AACCCUAGCCCCCAACCCCCACCCCGUCCGUGCGGCCGCCCCAUCACUCCAGAGGCUCCAGCCGCCGCAAAUCCCGUGAGCCGUGACGGCGCAUCUCAACGGACGGCGAGACGACGGAGCCAGCAGUCCAGCACCCUCCAGCCACCGCCCUGCAACCACCGCCCACCGCCCACCAGCAGGUCGCUGUCGGCCAUCGCGUGCAGGUCCGCCUCCGCCUCCAUCUCCGUGCAUGCAGGUCGGUGUCGCGUGCAGGCCAGCAACGCUACAUCUUCCCGUCGCCAUCGGCAUCUGGUGCCCAGCGGCGCUGCAAGCACCAAUUAGGGGGUAGCGGCAAAGGGAUUCUCAGCUGGGAAGACAACUCAAGAACGGCGGCAUCGACGGAGGAUUCUCAGCUGCAAAAUUGUUGUUGUCUAGGAUGUACUACUGUACUACUAUAAUCGGGUAGUUCGGGUAAACCCGAAUCCGAACCCAAAAUUAUCGAGUACCCGAAUUGUCGGGUUUUGUAUAUUUUCUACAAAUAUCGGACUGUAGUUUUUGAAA